rnacentral:rRNA from 1 species
AUUUUAUUUAAAAUAGAAUCUUAUAAAAAUAAUAUAAUUAUAUUAUUAAUUGAUUAAAAUUAUUUAAAAUAAUAUAAUAAAAUUUAUGUUUAAGUAAAGAUUUGUGAAUAAAUUAUUUUUAGAGUAUUUGUAAAAAAUUAAUGAUAUUUAUUUAAAAAAAAAAAUAAUUUGUAUUUUGUGUCUCAAAGUUUUUUAAAUAGAUUUAUAUUAUUAUAUUUUCUCUAAAUAAAUUGAAAAAAUUUAUUAUUUUAUUUUUAUGUUAAAAAAUAAUUUGAAAUAAUAAAUUAGAAAUUAAAAGUUAUUCGUAAUUUAUAUAUAUAGUUUUUUCAGAAAUAAAUUUAAUUUAAUUUUUUUAUUUUUUUUUAAUAAUUUAUUAUUAAAAUAAAUAAAAAAUAAUAUUUUUUUAGGGAUAAGCUAAAAAAAAUAAUUAUUAUAUAUAUAAAUUAUACAGGAAAAAAUUUUAGGAUUAAAAAUUUCUUUAUUUUAUAUUUAAAUUUUUAAUAAUUAAUAUUUAUUUUAUAUUAAUAUUAUUUAUGAAAAUAAUUUUUUUAAUUAUAAAAAAAAUAAAAAUAUGAAAAAAUUAGUAUAAUUUUAAUUAUUUUAUUAAUAAAUUUAAAAAUUAAUUUUAAGAAUUCGACAAUUUUAAAAUUUAUCUGUUUAACAAAAACAUUGUUUUUUGAAUUUAAUUUAAGAUAUAAUCUGCCCACUGAAAUUUUUGAAGGGCUGCAUAUUUAUUGUACUAAGGUAGCAUAAUCAAUAGGUUUUUAAUUGAAAUCUAGUAUGAAUGAUUGAAUAAAAUUUUAAUUAUUUUAAAUUAAUUUUUAAAACUUUAUUAUUUAGUAAAAAAGCUAAAAUUUUUUAAAAAGACGAAAAGACCCUAUAAAUUUUUAUAUUUAAAAUUAAUAUUUAAUUUAUUAAUUAAGUUAAAGUUAGUAAUAAAUAUUUUAUUGGGGCGAUAAAAAAAUUUAUUAAACUUUUUUUAAUUUAACAAUAAUUAUUGAUUUAUUGAACUAGAUAUUUUAGUUAAAGAAUAAGUUACUUUAGGGAUAACAGCGUAAUUUAAAAUUUAAGUUCACAUUAAAUUUUAAGUUUGCGACCUCGAUGUUGGAUUAAAAUUUAUUUUUAAAGAAAAGUUUAAAAAAUUUAGUCUGUUCGACUAUUUAAAUUUUACAUGAUCUGAGUUCAAAUCGGUGUAAGCCAGAUUGGUUUCUAUCUUUUAUUAUUUAUUUUUUUUUAGUACGAAAGGAAUUUUUAAAAAUAAUAAUUUAUAUUAUAUUAAUUUAAUU